rnacentral:misc_RNA from 1 species
CGCCUCCGUUAACGCCCUCGGCAGUCGCCGCAGCCCCCGCGCUGUGGAUCGAACGCCUUGGAAAAAAGAGCCGUCGUCAGCAGCGCGCGCACAUACGCGUGCGCUCGACCAUGUACGACGAUGCAGAGACGCGUCGGCGCGAAGAGGCCCGCCAGCAUGCUGCCGCGUCUCUGAUUCAACGGCGAUGGCACGAGCACACGGAGCGGCGCAGCUUGGAGCAGGAUGCCGCGCCGCUUCGUGGCACCGGCGGCAACAGCGUGCUGUUCGUCGCCUCUGCGUUCUGCGACGCGGUAAUGAGCAGAGGAGGCGAGACUGGUGAUGUCCUCCCGCCGCUGAACAGCGACGGCUUUGAUGAGCUUGCGCAAACAGUGCAGACGCCAGAGGAGAAGCGCCGCGCGCGUGUGGAGGAGUACCGCGCUCUCCUGGCGAAGCGCAAGGCGUUGCUCGAGAGCAACCUGGUCUACCAACAACUGCUGUCACGUCACUACGCGGAGCAGCGACGCCGCAACGGCGAGGACGAUGUGGCACAGCUCACAACACCAGAUGCGGAGGCAGCGUAUUGGGCCCUCGUGCGCCAGGUAGCAGAGGAGCGGCAGCGUGUGGAGGCACGGAGCGCCGCUCUGAAGAAGGACCUCGAGCUACAGCAGCAGCGCUACGAACCUAUCAUGGAGGAGGCCGCCACACAGGAGCGGAACUUCCAGCAGUACAUUCAAGAGCUAACGGCGAGCGUGCGCUUCAUGCGGUCCAACCGACCAAUCCCAACCGAGGCGAUAGAAAAGUACAUUGAGCUGGAGGCGGCGCAGCGCAGCGCCAUCCAUGCCUCUCGCGUGCGCUACCUCCAACUCAGAAAUCGCUUACUGCGGCUGCGGCGGGCAGCCAAAGGAGGCGCGGCACUGUCCUCGUCUGCGUCCACCGCAACGGCAGCCGCCACCGGACAGGAUGGUGAGGAGUCCAACGCCGCCAACCACCACAUGUUCCUAAUAGACUUUGAGCAGCUGAAGGUGGAGAACACGAGCCUCAACGAGAAGAUCGAGGAGCGAUCCGAGGAGGUGCUGAAGCUGCGCAACAAGGUCACCAAUACCAUUCACAUUGCCACGCAUGUGCGCGAGAAGUUGGACUGCGUGCGGGCAGAGAACGCCGAGCUGCGCCAGCAUGUCGCGAGCACGGACGAGGAGCUUGGUGGUGCGCGUGAUCAGCUGGCGAAGUCGAAGCGGCGCCGCGAUGCGCACCUGCGCGCCAAUACACGGAUGAAGGAGCGCAUGCCUCUGGUCGGCUCGCGCGAUCUACUGAUGGACUACGAGAAGCGCAAGGCGGUCAUCUACAACUACCGCACCCGCUUGGUGCAGCUGACGGACCGCCAUAAGGAGUUGACGGACAGCAUCAAGAAGGAGGAGUCCACUAUUGUCUCUCUCCAGCAUGAGCUCAGUCACUACCCAAGGUGAGGCAGUGCGCACGUGUGGGGAGGGUGGCACAUGCAGCCCUUCCGCCAGCGUCCGCAGCGGACUCUUGGCACGUGGCAAGGGGGACCGUGUAGACUACCCGAUGUGCAUUAACGCACUUUUUUGAGAGGACUCCUUUAUCGUCGCUCUCGCUUACCACCCUCUUGUUCGGUUCUCCGCCCGACGGCCUUCCCGGGUGUGUCUGCGCGCCCGUCUUGCGCAGCGGCGUGGUGCGGUUUGCGUGCGGUGUGAGGGCAGAGGCGGAAAGGGCAAGGCGGUGGCCAACUCCGCGUUGGCGUGUUCCUUUUCUAUGUACUACCCUUGUAUGGUUUCCUUGUGCUUGACGAUGUAUCAGCCCAGCUC